GAGGACAGUGGCUGAGAGAGAGCAUGAAAGGCGCUGCUGGGAUCCUGACAGUGUCACACAAUUUCCAGCCCAGCAUGAUGGUCACACCAAAAUUUGCAUUGUGAUCAAUCACAGAGAUGUGCAUUCCAAUUUUGUAUGCUUUUCAGUAUGUGCAGGUGCUUUGCAAUUUUAUGUAUGUAUGUGUGUGUGUGUGUUCACAUACACACACGUAUGUACUUUGUUUCCAAGAUUAAUUGUUCUAAAUAAUAUACAGUCUCUAAGAACAGGUUGCAAAAUCUUAAAGUAUUUUCUUUCUUCUUAUGGACUCUCUGUACCUUAAACUGUGUCCCUUGACCACCUGCUUCUGAGUUAUCCGGGAUGGCUGUUAUAGAAGCAGAAAGAUAUAGGCUUGGGGGAGGCGAGAGAGGCGGGAGAGAAGAGUAGUGGUAUCUUUGGAAUUAAUUAUCCAAGCCAGAAAAGCAAGAACCACCCUUUGCGCCUCCCUCUCCUGCACUAGCCACAUCCAGCUAUCAGAUCCAUUCUAUCACCCGGUACAAAAUACAACCCAGCCUCUCCACUGCUGCCUUUCUUCCCUGACCUGCUAUGUUUCUUGGUUCCAUUUCUUGCUCUCCACCCAUUCAACCUCUGCACUGCUUCCAGGACAGUAUCUCUAAAACACAAACAUGGCUAUCAUAAAAGACCCCUUUGCUAACCCUCCCACACACACAUAACAGCCCAGGUCCUUAGCCAGAUCUACAACUGUGCCGAUCCACCCUCCUCUUCCCUGGGUGUACCCAUGGCUCCUACAUCUCCAGCCUGUUCUGCAGUUCACAAAGGCACCGUGUUCUUUUGCACCUCCUUAUCUUAGUUGGUUUUGUCUCCUCUGCCUGGAAGACCUAUCCACUCCCCUCUUCUCCAAGCAAAGUCCAAUGCAGAUGUCUCCUUAUCUGCCUUCCUUUCCUGCUGCCUGAGACCCUAUAAGUUCCUCCCCUGCCAUAGUGUCACCACUAGAAAUGUUGCCUCUCUUCUUAGGGAGAACUUCCCUACCAGGUUAUAAGUACCUAAAGAAAGAGAUCCUGCCUUGUUUCUCUUUGAAUUCCUAAAACCUUGCCCAGUUUGAGACACAUAGUAGGUGCUCAAUAUGUUCCUUCCACUGAAUAUAAUUGACUCUAUCAAAAAAACAAUAAAACCUAUCACUUGCUUCCUCAGCCUUGGGAUCUCUUCCCUAAACUCUUUGCUUUGGGUUUCUCUCCAAUCAAUGUGAACACUUGAUCAUUUCUGGCCUACAAAGAUGCUGCCACUAAUGCAGUCUCUAGCUACUAAACCUCUUCUCAUUGGCCAAGCUUGGGCCUGAGCAGCCAACACUGGUGCCAGCAGCUAUAACCAUGACACACUUCUCCUGCCAACAGCACCCAUGAUCCAGGGGUAAGAUGAGCAUGGUGACUGGAAAGCAUUUGGUCUCUGCCAGCCUUCGAUGGAGACUUUUCUGGUCAUCAGAGAAGCAGCAAGCAAUAGAUAGAAUUACCCUCACCUGGCGCAGAGGUGACUGGCGGGAUACUUAUCUCCUUCUAUAACAAACCACCUUUUCUUCCAACUUUGCAAUCUAGACUUCUGCCUCCCUUGCCUGGAACUCACCUUCUUGGAGGUUGAUCUUCUAGUCUAAGAAGGCUAGAGAAUCAUCUUAAAAUGCUUCGAGUUCUGUGGGCAAUUGUACUGACUCAGGCUGAGCACAGCAUUCAUGCUGCUUGGGUACACACAUGACUGAAAACUGUGGGAUGGGCACUGGGUCCAUAAAGUAUUAUGUUAAAAGAUUAGGAUAAUGGCUAACACUUUGAAUUAUACAUGUUCACGUCAAAAGGACAUUGGGUAAACCUCAAAGCAUCACAGAAACAACUUAGAGUUCUAUAAGUGCUUCAUCCCAUUUUACACAGUAGGAAACCGAGGCUCAUAGAGGGGGAGUGGCUUGCCCAUAUCACACAGCAGGUGGAUGCUAAGCCUUACUCCAUUUAAAUUCUUUAAAGCAUCCUUCAAUGCUUAAGCUUGAGGAUUUACUGGCAAAAACAGAAUCCAGGGUGUCCCAACACCUCUGCCUAGUCCAUCUUCCUCUGCUCAGUUGCUUUUAAAAGAGUUGCAUUUCUGAUCCCUGGCCUGUUUUUAAAAUAUAGAAUCCUAGUCCUUAUAUUGCUGUUUUCCAUUUCAGUAAGAUGAGCUCAAGAAUCUGUUCUGUUUUUUGUUUUUGUUUUUGUUUUCAAAAAACAAACAAACAGAAAAACUAAAAACCUAAUUCCCCUGUUAGGCAAAAUCUCUGGACCACCCUGCUAGCCGCCCUUUUUAGGUCUUUUCCAACCUGAGAUUCUAUGCUUCUGUGUCAUAUGGAAUCCCUCACCUCUGAUAUACUGACAAUCCAUCAUUCCUAAUUUUAAAAAAGAAAUAUACAAUCAGAUGUAUGGGUUUGCUCUCCAGACUUUCAGGGAAAAAAAAAAAAAAGCAUCCAGACAGAAUGUUAAAGGCAUUCAAGGUCACCAGCAGACUGCCUCCAACCAUAGAAGAGCCCAGGAGUUUUAACUCACUGACCAUGAGGUGAUGCUGCCCUAUAGAAUGAGCAGCAAAAAAUGAGACCUGUGACCCUAAAUGACUCAGCCAUUGCCCUGCAAGGUGAAAGUCAAUUAAUGUCUGUGCCCCAUCUCUUCAUCCAUGACACGAGAGUGAUAAUGCUUGCCUCCACUUCAGGUGACAGAGAUGCUUAUAAAACACCAAAAGUAUAAAAGUGUUAAGAGAAGACAGACUGACUGUUUUUUUUUUUUGUUUGUUUUUUGUUUUUUUUUGAGUGACUCGCAUGCUCUUCCCUUUUAAGUGGCUGUGUCGAGUAAAACUUCCAUCUCGAUCCGGCAUGGUAAUAGGAACUCUGAGAAAACUGACAUCUUAAACCACUGUUCAUAUAACUUGGCCUGCGUGGGUGGCCUCACUCAGUGUGGCUACUUCAAUUUAUAAUUUCUUGAAAUCAGUCUAACACCAGAAUAUGACUUCAUCAGGUCAGUUUGUUCUGUUAGUCUCCAGUCAAAUCCAACAUCCAGUCAUAGACCUUGCAUUAUGGAAGGUGCCUCCAAGGUAAAACCUUUCAAUUACAAACACUAGACUCAAGGAGCUGGAAACUGAGAGCUGGCUGAAGACCGUUGCUUACUGAUCCAAAGAAAGUUCCUGUAAACCAGUGCAAAUCCUUGGGAGAACUUCUGUAUUAGCCUUCUGCACCAUCUUUGUCCCAGCUCCCUCUAACCAAAGAGCCAAUGGGAAACACUUAGGCUGUUCAAUAAAAUGUGUUAGCUUGAAAAGCUAAAAGCUUAAGAAAGUCUUGAAUAAAAUUAAACCUUAGAGUAUGGAAUUUCAGUGGCUACUAUCUUGUGAGAUUUAAGACUCUACAAUGCUGAAGUUGUUUUGCAAUUUAUUAUGUUCUUCUAAUUCUGCUCAUGUAAUCCUCCUAUUCAGAAAUUCCUAUGGUUUUCCCAUUGGUCUGUGGGAUGCGAAACUCUCACCGAUCUACACAUACAUGUAGUGGGAAAAUGCAGAGAGAACAAGAGUACAAAUAGGCAGAAAUGUGAAGAAAAUAGAAAAAUCUGAAAAAAAAAGGGGGGAGCACCAGGACAGACCAGAGAGAGCAAAGUGGACACACAGUGAAACAAUAAGGUGAUAUGUAGAAACCAGAGAAGCAAAUGCAAAAACAGAGAAGGGGGAGGAAAAAAAGGCAAAGAGGGGAGAAUAAGGUAUCCACCUUUCAAGGAACCCACAUAGAUGGUAGAUGGAGAUGGAAACAGAUCUUUGUUCCCAAAUGUUCUGAGGUGAGGCAGUAGAAAUAGAGGUGGAGAGUGAUGUAGUUUUGUUGACUGCAAGGAAAGCAAUGUCAGCCUGUGUACUGACCAUAGCAACACAGCCCUGGGACAAGAAAGCUACUGACAGAAGGCCUUAGAGUUAUUCAUUUAUUCAUUCAAAUUGUAUGUUUUCUUUUACAUAUUAGCAAUCCCAGCCUUUGAAAAGUUAUAUCACUUGAUUUAUUCAUUCUUUGAUGUAAUAAAUUUUGCACUGAAAAAUUCACUAAAUCAAUAAUGAACAAGAAGUAAUAUUUCUUCAUUGGGGUUUCAAGCAAAAAACCUCCUCACCAAUUUUCUUGACACGGGUUUAUUACAGAGAAUGUUAUUGGGAACUGAUUUAAGUUAUAAGCCGUGUUUUAUAAACCCCAGACAUUUUGCUUUGUGUACAUGGGCCCAAGAAGAGGACCAAAGAGAUCACAGAAUCUGUGGCUCUUUGCCCUGUAUUUUGAAGCACUCACUCUCAUGUUUAACUUUUAUUUUGCCAUAGAAGUAUUUUUCCGUACUGUAAUUUUAUUUUUAACCCCGUGUAAGUGCCAAAGUCACCAAAAGGUUGAAAAAAUGAAUAAGAAAGAAGAAAAAGGAGUACGUAUAAAUGUUUAAUAUAUUAUCUUUUAUGUAACUUUCCAGUUGUUGGUUAUUGCUUACUAAAUUUUUCAUUGCUAAAUUGAUAUAUAUAUAUAUUUUUUUUCUUUAUGGCCACACCUGCAGCAUAUGGACGUUCCCAGGCUACGGGUCAAACUGGAGCUGCAACUGUGCCUAUGCCACAGCCACAGCAACAUGGCAUCCCAGCUGCUUCUGCAACCUGUGCUGCAGCUUGCAGUAAUGUCAGAUCCGUGACCCACUCAACAAGGCCAGGGGCUGAACCCAAGUCCUCAUGGAGACGACAUCAGGUCCUUAGCCCACUGAGCAACAACAAGAACUCCCAAUACAUUUUUCUUUAUCUGUAAAAUUGUUUAGAAUCUUGUGAUGGAAUACAAAAUUUUUUCCACUAAAAGGAAUAGAAUUUUGCUUUUUUUUUUUUUUUCAUGUAACAGCUUUUCACAUAGAAAUUUUAGUACAAAUUAAAACCACUGUGUGAGAGAUGGGUAUACUCUGUUCAGAGCACCCUAAAAGGUACUAUAAAUCCAAAGAUGAACUGAAUACAGAUCCUGCCUCAAAUUCAUAAUCUGAUAAAAGACACUGGUGAGUUAGUGGACAACUUAGAAAGCAGUGAGAUUAAUAUUGUACUAAAGAUUCAGGGAGAAAAUUUUGUACAACCAGAAGUAGAAGGGUGAACUCUAGGAAAGCCUAUGAUUUUGAGGUAGGAGAUAGUUCUGGGAUUUUAGCCCUCUCUCCUUUAGCAAAACAGAAGAGCUUGUAUCUUAUUCUUUUAGAACUUUACAAAGUUAACUAGGUUGUUAAUCUGAAAUUAGGUAUUUUAAGGUGAGGAGUUAGUGGCUAAUAAUUAUCCAACUGUCUAGGCAACUCCACUGGACUUCAGACACUGCAGAAUCAAUCUCCCCAAACCUUAUUCUUUAUCUUAACUUAUAAAUCUGUAUUUUCCACAGUUGUCUAAUCCAGAAACCUAGGAGACCUCCUUAGCCCUUCCCUUGACCUUCUCUACCAAAUCUGAUUCCCAGGCCUUGUCAGUUUUCCAUACUAACUGUAUCCAGAACCUGCCUACUUCUCUCCAUUCCUUUGCCACCGUCCUAUUCCAGGCUACUUCCAUCUGUUCCCUGGACUCUCCUUUCCCUUCCUCUAAUCUUGGUUCCCUUCAAUUCAUUCUUUAGACUGCAGACAGGGUGGUAUUUCUAAGAUACAGAUCCUUUUCUCUUUCCUGGCUAGAGACCUGAAUGACUUACCAUUGUCCUUAGGUUAAAGGCCAUGAGGGUAUUUGCAGUCAUUUAGUAUCUAACCCAUGCCUUCCUUCCCAGCCUCACCUCUCUUCACUGCUGCCUUUCCAUGCUACACUUCUUUUGGUCCCUUAUAUGCAGCCUGAUCUCUCUCUUUAGGACCUUUGCACUUGCUAUUACCUCUUCAAACAUUCCUCCACCCAAUUCCCCUCCUUGCUUGCCUACUCAGCUUAGCUCUCAAUCCUUCCCUGAUGCUCUGAUAAAGUGAAGGACCCCUAUUAUGUUGUCUUUGUAGCACCCUUUAAUGCUCUUGUCACAGCAUUAAUUACACUGUACUGCAAUUGAUUAUCCUCUCCAUUCCCUUCUAGAAUGUAGGAUUGGGAAGAGAGGGGUCAUGUGUGUUCUGUUCACCAUUAUAUCCCUCAUGCCAAGCCCAAUGCUGGCAUAUAUAGUAUCCCAAUCCAUUGAAAAAUGAAUAAUGAAUAAAUGACUUGCUUUGUUUUUGAGUAAGUUUAGAAAAUUACUUAUGGGCUCCAUGCUUUAGCUCAAGUAAUGGAUUCUUAAGGAGGACAUUUCAGGGAGUUCCCUGGUGGCCUAAUGAAUUAAGGAUCCAACAUUGUCACGGCUGUAGCUUGGAGCACUGCUGUAGCAUGAGUUUGAUUCCUGGCCUGGGAACUUUCACAUGUUGCAAAAAAAAAAAAAAAAAAAAAAAAAAAAAAAAAAAAAG
ensembl:lncRNA